rnacentral:rRNA from 1 species
GAUGAACGCUAGCGGCAGGCUUAAUACAUGCAAGUCGAGGGGGCAGCAAUGUCACCGGCGAACGGGUGCGUAACGCGUAUGCAACCUACCUACAUCAGGGGGAUAGCCCUAGGAAACUGGGAUUAACACCGCAUAAUAUAAGCUACGGCCUCGUAACUUAUUGAAAUAUUUAUAGGAUGUAGCUGGGCAUGCGUAGGAUUAGCUAGUUGGUAAGGUAACGGCUUACCAAGGCUACGAUACUUAGGGGCUCUGAGAGUAGUAUCCCCCACAUUGGCAAGGAGAUACGGGCCAGACUCCGACGGGAGGCAGCAGUAGGGAAUAUUGGGCAAUGGAGGCAACUCUGACCCAGCCAUGCCGCGUGCAGGAAGACGGUCCUCUGGAUUGUAAACUGCUUUUGAAUGGGAAGAAUGUGCUUCUUGAGAGGAGUAAUGACGGUACCAUUAGAAUAAGCCACGGCUAACUACGUGCCAGCCGCCGCAGUAA